rnacentral:rRNA from 1 species
GAUGAACGCUGGCGGCGUGCCUAAUACAUGCAAGUAGAACGCUGAAGGAGGAGCUUGCUCUUCUGGAUGAGUUGCGAACGGGUGAGUAACGCGUAGGUAACCUGCCUGGUAGCGGGGGAUAACUAUUGGAAACGAUAGCUAAUACCGCAUGACAACAGUUAUUGCAUGAUAACUGUUUAAAAGGGGCAACUGCUCCACUACCAGAUGGACCUGCGUUGUAUUAGCUAGUUGGUGAGGUAACGGCUCACCAAGGCGACGAUACAUAGCCGACCUGAGAGGGUGAUCGGCCACACUGGGACUGAGACACGGCCCAGACUCCUACGGGAGGCAGCCGUAGGGAAUCUUCGGCAAUAGACGGAAGUCUGACCGAGCAACGCCGCGUGAGUGAAGAAGGUUUUCGGAUCGUAAAGCUCUGUUGUAAGAGAAGAACGAGUGUGAGAGUGGAAAGUUCACACUGUGACGGUAUCUUACCAGAAAGGAACGGCUAACUACGUG